GAUGAACGCUGGCGGCGUGCCUAAUACAUGCAAGUCGAGCGAACGGACGAGAAGCUUGCUUCUCUGAUGUUAGCGGCGGACGGGUGAGUAACACGUGGAUAACCUACCUAUAAGACUGGGAUGACUUCGGGAAACCGGAGCUAAUACCGGAUAAUAUUUUGAACCGCAUGGUUCAAAAGUGAAAGACGGUCUUGCUGUCACUUAUAGAUUGAUCCGCGCUUCAUUAGCUAGUUGGUAAGGUAACGGCUUACCAAGGCAACGAUGCAUAGCCGACCUGAGAGGGUGAUCGGCCACACUGGAACUGAGACACGGUCCAGACUCCUACGGGAGGCAGCAGUAGGGAACCUUCCACAAUGGGCGAAAGCCUGACGGAGCAACGCCGCGUGAGUGAUGAAGGUCUUCGGAUCGUAAAAUGCUGUUAUUAGGGAAGAACAUAUGUGUAAGUAACUGUGCACAUCUUGACGGUACCUAAUCAGAAAGCCACGGCUAACUACGUG
rnacentral:rRNA from 1 species